rnacentral:rRNA from 1 species
AUAACCAACGUGCCCUGAAGACUGGGAUAGCCGGGUGAAAACCCGAGUAAUACCGGAUGUGACCCUCGCGAGGCAUCUCGUGAGGAUUAAAUGGUUUUUCGCUUCAGGAGCGGGUUAUGGCCUAUCAGCUUGUUGGCGGGGUAAUGGCCCACCAAGGCGACGACGGGUAGGGGGUCUGAGAGGAUGAUCCCCCCGAGUGGGACUGAGACACGGCC